GCCAGGCACGGUGGCAGGUGCCUGUAAUCCCAGCUACUCAGGAGGCUGAGGCAGGAGAAUUGCUUGAACCCAGGAGGCCAAGGUUGCAGUGAGCAGAGAUUGCGCCACUGCACUAUAGCCUGGGUGACAAAGCCAGACUCCGUCUCAA
rnacentral:SRP_RNA from 1 species